UACGGAGUGGGCGAGCGUUAUUCGGAAUUAUUGGGCGUAAAGGGCGCGUAGGCGGCUUCAUAAGUCAAAGGUGAAAUCCCUCGGCUCAACUGAGGAACUGCCUUUGAAACUGUGGAGCUUGAGGCCGGGAGGGGGUAGCGGAAUUCCCAGUGUAGCGGUGAAAUGCGUAGAUAUUGGGAGGAACACCAGUGGCGAAGGCGGCUACCUGGACCGGAACUGACGCUGAUGCGCGAAAGCGUGGGUAGCAAACAGG
rnacentral:rRNA from 1 species